ACUCCUACGGGAGGCAGCAGUGGGGAAUAUUGCACAAUGGGCGAAAGCCUGAUGCAGCGACGCCGCGUGAGGGAUGACGGCCUUCGGGUUGUAAACCUCUUUCAGCAGGGAAGAAGCUUAAUCGUGACGGUACCUGCAGAAGAAGCACCGGCUAACUACGUGCCAGCAGCCGCGGUAAUACGUAGGGUGCGAGCGUUGUCCGGAAUUAUUGGGCGUAAAGAGCUUGUAGGCGGUUUGUCGCGUCUGCUGUGAAAACUCGGGGCUUAACCCCGAGCCUGCAGUGGGUACGGGCAGACUAGAGUAUGGUAGGGGAGACUGGAAUUCCUGGUGUAGCGGUGGAAUGCGCAGAUAUCAGGAGGAACACCGAUGGCGAAGGCAGGUCUCUGGGCCAUAACUGACGCUGAGAAGCGAAAGCAUGGGGAGCGAACAGGAUUAGAUACCCUGGUAGUCCAUGCCGUAAACGUUGGGCGCUAGGUGUGGGGCUCAUUCCACGAGUUCCGUGCCGCAGCUAACGCAUUAAGCGCCCCGCCUGGGGAGUACGGCCGC
rnacentral:rRNA from 1 species